rnacentral:lncRNA from 1 species
UAGCAGCCAACACCAGGUGUAAGCAAGCAUUCCAUAUUUUCAACCCUUAACCAAGAGAAAAUAUUUAUGGCCACAACCUACGAGAAUAUACACAAUGCUGGGACUUCUCGGCCUUUUGGGUAAGAGCUUGCAAAAGUACAUAAAACAUAUAAUAUCCUCUUUGAUAAUUUUACAAUUUGAUUCAACAGUAUUUCAUGUAAUGUACAUUUCUUCCUUUUAGUUCCAAUUUUUCCAAAUGAUUAAUUCCUUCUGUGAUCUUGAGUUGCAUCACAAGAAUAAUUCAAGCAUUAUGAUGAUUUCCCUUCUUCUAGCUUCAGCGAACCAAAGUUAACAUUUACUAGUUCAGCAGCAGCCCGGGCAACUGCGGUUGCACGCUCUGCAGAGGCAAUGGCAGCUCGAGCAAUCUCCAAGACAUCAGAAGACCCUGAUGUUGUCCCCCUUUUAGCAUCCGGAGAUGGUAUUGUAGUGUCGUUCUUGAUUGAUGAUUUAGUUUCACUAGUAUCCACUGACGGUGUAUUAAUCAUUGGGCUAGGAGCCUGAAGAUAUUGAGAUCCUUGUCUGCUCUCUGUAUUUAUAAUAGGACUUGUCCCAUUGGUAGGUGGAGUUUUAGGAGAGCUUCGUUUCAUGGGAGCUUGAGAAAGUGCAGCUUCAGCCACAAC